rnacentral:rRNA from 1 species
CGGGGUGCAGCAGGCGCGAAAACUUUACAAUGCCGGCAACGGCGAUAAGGGAACCUCGAGUGCCAGGUUACAAAUCUGGCUGUCGUGAUGCCUAAAAAGCAUUGCAUAGCAAGGGCCGGGCAAGACCGGUGCCAGCCGCCGCGGUAACAUCGGCGGCUCGAGUGGUAACCGUUAUUAUUGGGUCUAAAGGGUCUGUAGCCGGCCGGGUAAGUCUCUUGGGAAAUCUGGCAGCUUAACUGUCAGGCUUUCAGGAGAUACUGCCUGGCUCGAGGCCGGGAGAGGUGAGAGGUACUUCAGGGGUAGGGGUGAAAUCUUGUAAUCCUUGAAGGACCACCAGUGGCGAAGGCGUCUCACCAGAACGGACCUGACGGCAAGGGACGAAAGCUAGGGGCACGAACCGGAUUAGAUACCCGGGUAGUCCUAGCCGUAAACGAUACUCGCUAGGUGUCGGCCACGGUGCGACCGUGGUCGGUGCCGUAGGGAAGCCGUGAAGCGAGCCACCUGGGAAGUACGGCCGCAAGGCUGAAACUUAAAGGAAUUGGCGGGGGAGCAC